rnacentral:rRNA from 1 species
UACGGAGGAUGCAAGCGUUAUCCGGAUUUAUUGGGUUUAAAGGGUGCGCAGGUUGUUUGAUAAGUCAGUGGUGAAAGUCUGUCGCUUAACGGUAGGAUUGCCAUUGAUACUGUUGGACUUGAAUAUGGAUGAGGUAGGCGGAAUGUGUAGUGUAGCGGUGAAAUGCAUAGAUAUUACACAGAACACCGAUUGCGAAGGCAGCUUACUAAUCCAUCAUUGACGCUGAGGCACGAAAGCGUGGGUAUCAAACA